rnacentral:rRNA from 1 species
AGCACGCUUAGGCGUGUGACUGCGUACCUUUUGUAUAAUGGGUCAGCGACUUAUAUUCUGUAGCAAGGUUAACCGAAUAGGGGAGCCGAAGGGAAACCGAGUCUUAACUGGGCGUUAAGUUGCAGGGUAUAGACCCGAAACCCGGUGAUCUAGCCAUGGGCAGGUUGAAGGUUGGGUAACACUAACUGGAGGACCGAACCGACUAAUGUUGAAAAAUUAGCGGAUGACUUGUGGCUGGGGGUGAAAGGCCAAUCAAACCGGGAGAUAGCUGGUUCUCCCCGAAAGCUAUUUAGGUAGCGCCUCGUGAAUUCAUCUCCGGGGGUAGAGCACUGUUUCGGCAAGGGGGUCAUCCCGACUUACCAACCCGAUGCAAACUGCGAAUACCGGAGAAUGUUAUCACGGGAGACACACGGCGGGUGCUAACGUCCGUCGUGAAGAGGGAAACAACCCAGACCGCCAGCUAAGGUCCCAAAGUCAUGGUUAAGUGGGAAACGAUGUGGGAAGGCCCAGACAGCCAGGAUGUUGGCUUAGAAGCAGCCAUCAUUUAAAGAAAGCGUAAUAGCUCACUGGUCGAGUCGGCCUGCGCGGAAGAUGUAACGGGGCUAAACCAUGCACCGAAGCUGCGGCAGCGACGCUUAUGCGUUGUUGGGUAGGGGAGCGUUCUGUAAGCCUGCGAAGGUGUGCUGUGAGGCAUGCUGGAGGUAUCAGAAGUGCGAAUGCUGACAUAAGUAACGAUAAAGCGGGUGAAAAGCCCGCUCGCCGGAAGACCAAGGGUUCCUGUCCAACGUUAAUCGGGGCAGGGUGAGUCGACCCCUAAGGCGAGGCCGAAAGGCGUAGUCGAUGGGAAACAGGUUAAUAUUCCUGUACUUGGUGUUACUGCGAAGGGGGGACGGAGAAGGCUAUGUUGGCCGGGCGACGGUUGUCCCGGUUUAAGCGUGUAGGCUGGUUUUCCAGGCAAAUCCGGAAAAUCAAGGCUGAGGCGUGAUGACGAGGCACUACGGUGCUGAAGCAACAAAUGCCCUGCUUCCAGGAAAAGCCUCUAAGCAUCAGGUAACAUCAAAUCGUACCCCAAACCGACACAGGUGGUCAGGUAGAGAAUACCAAGGCGCUUGAGAGAACUCGGGUGAAGGAACUAGGCAAAAUGGUGCCGUAACUUCGGGAGAAGGCACGCUGAUAUGUAGGUGAAGUCCCUCGCGGAUGGAGCUGAAAUCAGUCGAAGAUACCAGCUGGCUGCAACUGUUUAUUAAAAACACAGCACUGUGCAAACACGAAAGUGGACGUAUACGGUGUGACGCCUGCCCGGUGCCGGAAGGUUAAUUGAUGGGGUCAGCGCAAGCGAAGCUCUUGAUCGAAGCCCCGGUAAACGGCGGCCGUAACUAUAACGGUCCUAAGGUAGCGAAAUUCCUUGUCGGGUAAGUUCCGACCUGCACGAAUGGCGUAAUGAUGGCCAGGCUGUCUCCACCCGAGACUCAGUGAAAUUGAACUCGCUGUGAAGAUGCAGUGUACCCGCGGCAAGACGGAAAGACCCCGUGAACCUUUACUAUAGCUUGACACUGAACAUUGAGCCUUGAUGUGUAGGAUAGGUGGGAGGCUUUGAAGUGUGGACGCCAGUCUGCAUGGAGCCGACCUUGAAAUACCACCCUUUAAUGUUUGAUGUUCUAACGUUGACCCGUAAUCCGGGUUGCGGACAGUGUCUGGUGGGUAGUUUGACUGGGGCGGUCUCCUCCUAAAGAGUAACGGAGGAGCACGAAGGUUGGCUAAUCCUGGUCGGACAUCAGGAGGUUAGUGCAAUGGCAUAAGCCAGCUUGACUGCGAGCGUGACGGCGCGAGCAGGUGCGAAAGCAGGUCAUAGUGAUCCGGUGGUUCUGAAUGGAAGGGCCAUCGCUCAACGGAUAAAAGGUACUCCGGGGAUAACAGGCUGAUACCGCCCAAGAGUUCAUAUCGACGGCGGUGUUUGGCACCUCGAUGUCGGCUCAUCACAUCCUGGGGCUGAAGUAGGUCCCAAGGGUAUGGCUGUUCGCCAUUUAAAGUGGUACGCGAGCUGGGUUUAGAACGUCGUGAGACAGUUCGGUCCCUAUCUGCCGUGGGCGCUGGAGAACUGAGGGGGGCUGCUCCUAGUACGAGAGGACCGGAGUGGACGCAUCACUGGUGUUCGGGUUGUCAUGCCAAUGGCACUGCCCGGUAGCUAAA